UGAAGGGAGGGGGACUGCUGAGGGUCCGAGGUGGGAGGAGAGCAUCGAGGAGAACGUCAUCGAGGAGAACAUCGAGAACAUCGAGCCCAUCGAGCCCGCACCGCCCCGCUGUCCUGUCGAGACUCUUUUGCACCAUGAGUGAGAGACAAGGAUCUGGAGUUUCUGGCGGGAACAGCAAACCCGCUGGUGGACAAGCUCUCCCUCCAGAUGCCUCCAAGAAGGAUGCCCCAGCAGACUUUGACAUCGACAUGGAAGAUCCGGAGACAGAGAAGGCCGCUGUUGCCAUCCAGUCGCAGUUCAGGAAGUUCCAGAAGAAGAAACAGGGUGCCAAGUCCUAGAGGGUAGCCGGGUGGCUCAGGCUGCCACCAGUAGAGGGCGCUGUGAGGUCUCUCUGCGUUGCAUGUUGAAGAAACGACUGUGUAUGGACUCUAGAGGGAGGGGGGGGUUGGGCCGGGAGAAUUCAGCAAUACCCUGCGUCUCACUGAUACGUCUUUGAUGUUCUUGUGCGUGAUUCACUGUUUGACUGCUGCAUUAUUACUUUCUGAACCUCACAGUGUAUUUUACUCUUUAAUUUGCCUUUUUUAUCAUCCUUCCUUUCCACUGACAGCAUGUGUCUCCAGUACUGUAGCACUCGAACCCUUUGCCAAAGGGAAGUGCAUUCUUAAAAUUGGAUAUAGCCAAUUUUAUAUGGAGCAGUGGCUGUUGGGUAAGCUUUUUGAAUAUAAUGCAAGCAAAUUCUGUACCUGUAUGAUCAGCUACUGUACACCAGUAAGGGCAGGAAAGCCACAAUGAUAUCAUAACUAACACUUAAACCAUUGCAAAAACAGGAUUGUGAGUCUAAUCACUCUACAGAAAUAUAUAUUAUAUAUAUUACAUACAUGCAGGCAUUUGGUUUUUAUUUAAGGCAACACAUUCCCACCAUUACUGUGUCGAAACCUUGCUUAUAGUGGACAUUUAAACUGUUUAUGGUUGAUGGAAAACCAUUACAUGUGUUGUAAAGUUUGUGUUACACCUGUUUAUGGAUCCAUAUUAAACCCAUGAACUACUCUUUUGGAAUACUUGGUAAAGGUGUGUCUGUGUGUAAUUGAACCCACAACCUUUGUUCCUUCAGGGAUUAUUAGCUUUUGCAUCCAUCCUUUAACACUGGAGCAGUAUAACCUUAACAAAUAUGGAGAAUACUUAUGUCAAAAUGUUUUUUUUUCUUUCAAUGGCU